ACAAAGUAACAAAUCAGACAAAAGGUCACGGCUGAAAAUAAGUGAUAAUUAACUCAAAUUGAUACUAUUAAACAAACACUUCAAACUUAAAGGGUUCAUGAAUAUGGAAUUGGUUCAUGUCUAGUUGCAAGACUAUUUAUACUACUCAUAAUUUACAACUCAAAGCAAGGUUUCUAAAAACAGCCCCAAUUUGAUCCCGCAAUUACAUGAAUAGCUAAUUACAUGAAUAUCUAAGCUGGACAUUUUAAAAGCUAAUAACUAACAAAAUGAACAAGUAACAAUUUAUCCUUAUGGAUUCUUCAAGUUCCUUAUACAUAGGAAUCUAAUUUCACAUCUGGUUACGAAAGUGUACCUGGAAAUGAAACACAAUAAAGAAGGAAGAGGAUGAUCAGCAGAGAAACAGUAGUAUACAACAACAGCAACAACCAGCAACAAAGUAAACAGGAUAGCCCAGUCGUAUAUUAAAAACCAACAGAAGUCCAACAAAAUCCAAUGAAAUAGUAGCAAACAACCAAAUAGCCAAACUCAGAAGCAACCAACUGACACCUCAGAAAUACCAAUCAACAAAAACAAUGAAGCAGUAACAGUAACAAAUACUAAUUUCAGUAGUAAAGAAGCAACUUUCUUUAUUUCUUUAACUCUCAAAAUAACUGAACUCUUGGAUUAAAAAUCCAGCCUAUUUUUUUUACUCUCUAAGUCUGACUUCUCCAGAUUAAAAGCCAAUCUAAAAACUUAUCCUCCAUUUUUUAUUCUCAAUACUCACUUUUUUAAAACUGAUCCUCUUAGAUUUUUUAAAAGCUCCCACUUCUUUUUUUUAUGUCUCUACUCAUCUCUUUAUUUAAACCCAAACUUUAACCCUUUUCAGCCCUUCUUUUUUUUUUUUACAGUUGUAAAAAAAAACCUUUUAUUAUUAUCCUUCCUUUUUACUUUCCAGCUUUUUAUUCCCUCCCCACAUGCACUAUUUUAUCUUUUUCAUUAUUAUUCCCUUCUUUUUACUUUCAAAGCUCAUUUUUCCUUUAUUUACAUCAUAAUGUCUUAUUUCCCACUACUCUUAAAUAAUUGCAACAAUUUAUUGGUCCAUUAGUUCUUCCUGAUAGAAUAUUCAACUAAACAUUAUUAAACUAUUAAAUCCCAAAAUACCCCUGAAACUACUGAAAUUUACUGUCCUACCCCCUCCCCUUUCAGUUUGUACCAAAAACUCAGCUAUAACCAAUUCAACUAAUCAAAUUCACAGUAUAUCAAAACUCAAAUUAGCUUACAUAGCAUCUGAUCAGAGUGGAAUGGAUAAUCAUAUUGGGAACCAAUCCUGAUCAACCCAUACCAAAUGAACGAGUAAGGAGUCAAUAACACAAGUAGAACUGGAAUCAACUAGAUGAUCAUACAUCUAAUUGAAUUGGAAAACAAAGAAGAAACAAGCAUAACAGUUUUAAGGGGAUUGACAUACACAUGACUAAUCAAUUUAGUUCAAUGAGAUGGACUGAAUAUACUAACAUGCUCAAUUCUAAGUUCAAGCAUAUCAACCAUUUCAUUUUCAACAUGAAAUUAGAACAGAAAAGAAGCAGGAUGGGAAACCUACUUGAAUGUACCAAAACUAUUAUUACGUUAAUAACAUUCAAGCAAAACAGACUAAUCGACGAUACUUAUUCAAUCGAUUACACAUGCCAAAAUAUACAACAAUUAACGACAAACAAUCAAUACAAACCAAAGGUGAUUUGUGUGGCAUCUAACAGAAAUAGAGAGUUAUAAUACAACUUAACUAAUCGAUGAAACAAUUCAAACAAACGAUUUCCUAAUUCACAACAUAUAAUUACAAGGAACACAAUAGUUGGCCUAAAUAAAAAUGUCUAAUGGAGUAGAAGAAUUAUUGAACAAACAAAAAAAUGAACAGAAAAUUAAUACAAUGACCCCUAAACAAAUAAAAAAUAACAAAUAACCAAAUAGAACAAACUAAAGAAAGGAAAAAUACCUUAAAGAAAUCAGAAAUCAGACGGACUUGACCAAUCUCAAACUUGAACUUUUUGAUGUCAAACGGACCUUAAUCAAGUGUUCUCGAUUGAGAACACUAGACUAAGGUCAUUUAAAACCCCAGAUUCCUCUUAAUUUCGGACGAAAUCCCAAUUUUGGUUUUCUAGGGUUCUAUGGUUCAAAUUGGGAUUUGAACGAUUCUAAAAUGAUUUUAACCGAGCUAAUGGUGUUUGGGGUAUGAGGGAGGUCAGUGGGUGGAGUGGUGUGAGUCUGGAGUGGAUUGGGUUCGGCGCCGCCACUAGGGGAUCUUGUGGCGGCGCUAGGGUUCUUGGUUGUAAUUCAAUAUUGGAGAGAACCCAGGUUGAUUCGAAGGAAAUUAAGGGUGGUUAUAAGAUGAGAGAGGUCAGGGGGUCAAGGGGUGUUGAUUUGGUGGCCAUCGGAGAAGGUUAGGUUUUGGCCGAUUUUCGAUUAAAAAUUCGAGGAGCUUCGUUAGGUUUUGAGGAAGGCUGUUUGGAUGGUUGAAAUGAGGAGGUUAAGGUGAGUUUAGACUGUGAAAAUGGAGGAGUUUGGCCUACCAGAACCAUCGUGAGGCGAUUUCCGAUGGCAGAGCAUGGUGGUUGACGGCGGAGGGUGGUGAGCUUGUGUUUAGGUCAGAGACGAAUGCGGGGGUAUGGCUUAG
rnacentral:lncRNA from 1 species